AAUAUUGUACAAUGGGUGCAACCCUGAUACAGCCAUGCCGCGUGUGUGAAGAAGGNCUNNGGAUUNUNAAGCACUUUAAGUAGNNNNNAAGGGCGUUAGNUUAAUACGCUGACGUUUUGACGUUACCAACAGCUUAAGCACCUGCUAACUCGGUGCCAGCAGCCGCGGUAACACAGCUGGUGCAAUCGUUAAUCGGAUUUACUUGGCGUAAAGCGCGCGUAGGUAGUUCAUUAACAUGGGUUGGAAAUCCCCGAGCUUAACCUGGGAACUGCUUUCAUAACUGCUGAGCUAGAGUACGGUAUAGGGUAGUGGAAGUUCCUGUGUAGCGGUGAAAUGCGUAGAUGUAGGAAGGAACACCAGUGGCGAAGGCGACUACCUGGGCUAAUACUGACACUGAGGUGCGAAAGCGUGGGGAGCAAAC
rnacentral:rRNA from 1 species